rnacentral:rRNA from 1 species
CCAAUAGCGUAUAUUAAAGUUGUUGCAGUUAAAAAGCUCGUAGUUGAAUUUCGGGAUCUAUCCGUUGGUCGGGCUUUUGGGUCCGUACUGGCGUUAUGGAUUCCUACCUUCUGAAUAACCGGCAUGCCAUUAAUUUGGUGCGCUGGGGAAGCAGGACUGUUACCUUGAAAAAAUUAGAGUGCUUAAAGCAGGCUAUCGCCUGAAUACAUUAGCAUGGAAUAAUGAAAUAGGACGGCAUGGUUCUAUUUUGUUGGUUUCUAGGAUCACCGUAAUGAUUAAUAGGGAUAGUUGGGGGCAUUAGUAUUCAACUGUCAGAGGUGAAAUUCUUGGAUUUAUUGAAGACUAACUUCUGCGAAAGCAUUUGCCAAGGAUGUUUUCAUUAAUCAAGAACGAAAGUUAGGGGAUCGAAGACGAUCAGAUACCGUCGUAGUCUUAACCAUAAACUAUGCCGACUAGGGAUCGGACGAUGUUAAUUUUUUAAUGACUCGUUCGGCGCCUUACG